GGCUGGUCUGAGUACAAAAAAUGAACAAUUUCUUUGUUCAUAUUUUACUCCCAUUGCUUCACUUGACCAGUGUUAA
rnacentral:sRNA from 1 species